rnacentral:lncRNA from 1 species
UGUUCGCAUUAAUUUUGGAUGUCAGCAUGUCCUCCUUUUAUUCAAAAUAUUGAUACGUAACAAAAUUUCAGUAGAUUUGAUACCUCAUGCUGACUUUAUACAACAAAAUUAUUUGACUGCAUCGACCAAAAACUGACCUGCAUAUGUGCACUUUAAUUUAAAAAUCUAUAUAUAUCCGCAUAGUAAAUCAGCCAUAUUUUUGAUGUCUGGAUUCAAUGUAUAAAAUAAAUGACCCCUGUUGGGAUGGCGCCUAAUUAUGUCUUCUCCUGGCACUCCUGUGAACAUGUUAGUAGGACGGCAAAUGUAAGCAUGAUAAGGAAAACAAUUAAUGCAAUUUUUUCCCGCAUACAUUGAGAAUGUCAGCGUUUCAUCUCUGUAUUCAUAAUAUUGAACAGUCACUAGGGUGUGUAAAACGAAACUAUUAGGCCGCAUCAUCCAAGUACAUGUACAAUGUACCAACACUGACAUGUCUGAAUUCAUUUGUGCUUUUUAAUAAAAAAAUGUAUUUGAGGUUCUCUUCUGGUAAUAGUAUACUGUUAAUCUAUUAUGUCGGUUGAUUGAUUUUGUUUGUGGUUAAACGUCAAGUGACAACUAUUUCAUUCAUGUGCACAAAUCUCUCGACAAAUCUGACGAAUUUGACGAGAUUGUUGGUAGUUUUACCACAUCGUACAUAUCCGGACACUGUACAACUGUACAAUUUUCGUUAGAAUAUUCUGCGGAAAAAGAAUAGUAAAUCCAAUCCAAACAAGUAGAAUAACAAUGAAAUAUCCAUGCAUGUAUAAAUGCGUAAAGUAAAAAUUAUGAAGGGACAGUUAAAAAACGGGGAACGAAGUAACGUCGACAAAGAUGUUGAUAUCCCAUGAUAUACGAAUGUUGUUCCGAUGCGUUGGACAACCCUAAUUUCUA